rnacentral:rRNA from 1 species
AACGAACGCUGGCGGCGUGCUUAACACAUGCAAGUCGAACGUGAUUGGGAGCUUGCUCCCAUGAAAGUGGCGCACGGGUGAGUAACACGUGGAUAAUCUGCCCAGUGGUUUGGGAUAACACUUCGAAAGGGGUGCUAAUACCAAAUAAGCCCACGGAGACUCCGGUCUUUGCGGGAAAAGGUGGGGACCUUCGGGCCUACCGUCACUGGAUGAGUCCGCGGCCCAUUAGCUAGUUGGUAGGGUAAUGGCCUACCAAGGCUACGAUGGGUAGCUGGUCUGAGAGGAUGAUCAGCCACACUGGAACUGAGACACGGUCCAGACUCCUACGGGUGGCAG